rnacentral:rRNA from 1 species
UACGGAGGGAGCUAGCGUUGUUCGGAAUUACUGGGCGUAAAGCGCACGUAGGCGGCUUUGUAAGUUAGAGGUGAAAGCCCGGGGCUCAACUCCGGAACUGCCUUUGAUACUGAGGGUCUUGAGUUCGGGAGAGGUGAGUGGAACUGCGAGUGUAGAGGUGAAAUUCGUAGAUAUUCGCAAGAACACCAGUGGCGAAGGCGGCUCACUGGCCCGAUACUGACGCUGAGGUGCGAAAGCGUGGGGAGCAAACAGG